UUUUCAAUGGUAUUACAAGCAAACCAAGCAGGAACAGAUGAAUUCUGGAGAUCAACACUUGAAUAUGUUGGCAGGGUUUGGGCUUCUUUGACCAUGAGAUGGUGUUGCUAGAAGAAGGACCUGUUGUGAAGAGAAGGGGUCCACCAAGAAUGUCUUUGAAUACUGUAUCAUUAAGCUACCAAGGAGGGCUUUAAAUUUGAGUUAACCAGGGAUUGAGACAAAAGCUCAGAGGUUUUCACAAGUACUUCUGGAGCUCAAGCUAACUUGAAGACAACUGGAAGAAUUGAAUGUAUAUACUGCAGUACUCCAGUCUUUCUGAGCAUGAGUGCAGCUUUACUCUGAGAGAGACAGAACAUUUAUUGAUCAUCUCAAAAUUUGGCCCGGAUUGGAGGCAGCAGCCUGUUUGAGCUGCUCCCUGGAUUGCCCUUGGGCUCAAGAGGGGAUCUCCAGCUGCAAAAUCUUC